rnacentral:lncRNA from 1 species
GGCCGCCUUGCGUGCCUCUUGGCGCGCCGCCUUGGUGGUGGUGUUGUUGUUGUUGCCGUUGGUUUGGUGCUGGGGAUGACUAUGGUCGGCCUCGUGGCCCUGGCCAUCGGCGUUGCCCUCGUCAUGGCCAUGCUGUUGGUCGACGGCGUGCUGGGCGGCACCGUCGUCGUUGGCCUGAUGGGCCUCGGUCUGCUGCGCCUCCCGUGCCGCCUUUUCAGCGGCGGCCUUGCGUGCGAUGGCUGCCUGCGCGCGGCGCUGAUGGCGGUUCAUCGGAGCGGGUGCGGUGGUCGUGCUCGUGCUCAUGGUGCAGUGC